rnacentral:rRNA from 1 species
CCUUUGACGUUAGCGGCGGACGGGUGAGUAACACGUGGGUAACCUACCUAUAAGACUGGGAUAACUCGGGAAACCGGAGCUAAUACCGGAUAAUAUUUCGAACCGCAUGGUUCGAUAGUGAAAGAUGGUUUUGCUAUCACUUAUAGAUGGACCCGCGCCGUAUUAGCUAGUUGGUAAGGUAACGGCUUACCAAGGCGACGAUACGUAGCCGACCUGAGAGGGUGAUCGGCCACACUGGAACUGAGACACGGUCCAGACUCCUACGGGAGGCAGCAGAC